rnacentral:lncRNA from 1 species
AUGAGCUUUGUUCAAUCACAAAGACAAGAUAUUAUUGUAUUGUUCACAUUUUAUUUACUUUGUUUACUUUAUUUAGCUGCAAGACAAAAGAUAAAUGAAGAAUUCAAAAAUAACCAAAGUGAAACAUCUGAAAAGAAGAUAAAUGAGUGCUCUUACCCAGGAAGGAUCUGCUACAAGACAAUAUUCCUUACUUUGAUAAACCAACAAAAAAGCAUGAAUCUUGAGAAGAGUGUGCCCUUCUUCACAGUAGUAAAACCUGGUACAGCUGUGAACAUUUUCAGACUGAUUUCAAGUCCUGCUACAGAACUAUUAGACUUUAUGGAAGUUUUAGCUAAAGUGGUACAGCUGUAUUCAGAGUUAAAUCCUCACUGUUAUGUGAAAACAAGUAACAGAAAAUAAAGAACAUAAGACUGAACCUCUCCUAGCAGUCCUCACAGUCUAUACCUGUUUAAAAUUACAAUAGCAC